ensembl:lncRNA
AUGGAGCAGUCCAGAACUGGCGUGUUGCUGGAGAAGCUGACGGCCACGAACUACAGCAUCUGGUCGGUCCGCAUGCAACACUUCCUCAAGGGUGAGGGCCUGUGGAAAGUGGUGGAAGAGCCACCGCAGCCCCCUGAGGAGGAUGAGGACGACGAUGAAAAGCUGGCACUAGCAGAGGCCCAGCUUGAAAAGGAUGAGAAAGCUUUGGCUACGAUCAUCCUUGGAGUGGACGACAGCCAGCUAGUCUACGUAACUGAUAAGGUGACGGCAAGUGAGGCGUGGAAUGCGCUCAAGGCUGUCCAUGUGCGAGAGACAGCUGGCUCACUGAUAACACUGACCAGGAGACUGUACCGGUGUCGGAAGAAACCGGGGGACUCCCUGGUAAACCACCUAAAAUUCCUAACAGGCUGUUUCCAGGAGCUAGCCUUAAGAGGGAGGCCUGUGGGGGAAGAGGACAAAGUCUUUAUAGUCCUGAGUUCCCUUGAUGACAGCUAUGAUAUGCUGGUCAACUCCCUCGAGUCUGUAGAGACUGAUAAGCUGACUCUGGAAUACGUGACCGGACGGUUGUAUGCGGAGGAGGACAGGCGUGCAGAGCGAAAGAUGACCUCAGCCCAGCUGUUGGAGCAUCCCAGAGGGAACAACAGCCGGGAAGAGCAGAGGUGUCGGGAGCCGGAGAAACAGCCAGGAGGAGCUGCUGCAGACCAGCCAGUGGUCAACAAAGUAAAAAGGUGUUUUUGCUGCAAGUCCAGUGGACAUCUGCUGCGGGACUGCCCGAGAAAGCAACAAAAACAGCAGAAGCACAAGUGGCAGCAGAGGGAGUCUACCGCUUGGGUGUCUGCAGAUGGUCAAGAAAAUGAGGAGCUGUGGGUUCUGGACAGUGGAGCUUCUCAAACCUUUUGUAAAAGAAAAGGAUUGCUAACUGAUGCUAGGGCUUCAAACAAAAAACAUGUAAGUCUUGCUACGGGCCAGAAAGCUAAUGUGGUUUGUGAGGGGGAGGUUGUGUUCCCACAGCUGGGACACACAUUCAGGAAUGUGUUGUGUGUGCCUAAUUUGCAAAACAAUCUCCUGAGCAUUCCUGAUUUGGCAAAAGCAGGCUUUGAAGUAAGUUUUGUGGGAGAUCAGUGCCAGAUAAAGCAAAAUGGGGCAGUGUUGGCAAAUGCUAGCCUUAGAACUAAUAUGUAUGUACUGCAGUGUGAAUCUAAGGUUGCAAAUGUGCAAAAUGUCCCGACCCAUGAUAUGUGUAUUCAUCUCCUGCACAGGCGUCUGGCUCAUGCUAGCUAUAAGGUGCUAAACAAAACAUUGGAGUUGUGUGGGGGGAUGAAAAACAUAAAAAGUUGUGAUAAUUACUUAGACUGCAAUAUCUGCAAGGAGGUUAAAAGCAGGGCUUGCCCAGUAGCAAGAGCAAGCCAGAGAGAAACCAAAAAACCACUGGAGUUGAUUCAUGCUGAUGUAACUGGUCCUUUUCCACCUAGUGUCUCCCACAACAAAUACUGUUUGAUCCUAGUGGAUGACUAUUCUAGAUUUGGCUGGGUCUAUCCAUUAAAGCAAAAGUCUGACGUUGCCCAAACUUUGAAGUUCUGGGUAAGAAGGGUAGAAAGGCAACUUGGUGAAAAGGUGUCCUCUAUUCAAUCAGACAGGGGAGGGGAGUUUAUGGCAAGCUCCCUAAGAAACUGGUUGCGUACCCAAGGGAUUAAACAUAGGCUUACCAAUGUGGCCACGCCUCAGGAGAACGGAGUAGCAGAGCGUAGGGGAGGUGUCUUGCAGACACAAAUGAAAGCAUUGUUAGCAGAUGCAAAUCUUCCAAUUAAGUACUGGGCUGAAAGUAUUAAGACCGCAAAUUAUAUUGGGAAUCGCUUGUGGUCAAGGGUACUAGAUGAUAUACCCUAUAAAAUUCUCUAUAACAAAAGUCCCAGUUUGCAACAUUUAAGAAUCUUUGGGACAAAGGCAUGGGUUGACAUACCUGUGAAAAACCGAAGAAAAGGUGGGAAAAGGGCACAGCAGUUGCUAUUUCUUGGGUAUGAAAGUGGUACGAAAGCCUACAGGUUUGAAGAUGAUAAAAACCUUUUGAGUUAUAGUCGAUCAGCCAGCUUUAAUGAGCAAAGAAAUUGGCCCAAGAUACAUGCAAACCUGCUGCCAGAAAAAGUUUUACUGCCGAGCAUACCUGAUAAGGCAGUUGAAACAAAGCUAAGAAUUGGCAGCUCUCCCAGAGAAACUGAAAGGGAGGAGGUAAAGGUUGAGCAUUUUUCUCCAGCUGCUAGCAUGGAGCAGGGGAGAGAAGAAAGUGCAACAGGGACAGGAGGAGGUAGAUCUCCAGAGUCAAUCCACCCCAAAAGCAGUCCUGAAAGUAGCCCAGGGGGUGAGAUUAAUGAACCAAGGAGGUCUGCAAGAAGUAAUAAAGGUCAACCUCCAGACCGUUAUGGGUUCCCAGCCACCAUAAACCAGGUUUGUGUAACUGAGCCAGAAAACUUUGAAGAAGUGCAAGAGUUACCUACUCUAGAGAAAGAGGCGUGGUUAAAGGCAAUGCAGGCAGAGUAUAACUCUCUGCUAAACAACAAUGUCUUUGUGCCUACAGAAUUGCCUGAAGGUAAAAAGCCCAUAAGCUGUAAGUGGGUUUUUAAAGUGAAAAAGCUGGCUGAUGGUAGUUGUCAGAGGAAAGCCAGGUUGGUUGCACGGGGCUUUACACAGAGGAAAAUGAUACAUUAUGAUGAAGUGUUUGCCCCAACAGCAAAGGCUGAAACAGUAAAAUCAGUUUUAGCAAUGGCAAGUCUGAGAGGGUUAAAAGUUAAUCAUUUUGAUGUUGCCUCAGCAUAUUUAAAUGCUCCUAUUGAUGCCGAGGUAUAUUUACAGCAAAUACCAGGUUAUGAGCUGGAAAAAGACAGCAUGGUGUUAAAACUGCAAAGGGCACUAUACGGUUUACACCAAAGUGCACGUCUAUGGCAUGAAUGCAUAGACACAACUUUGAAAAAGAUGGGAUUCAAACAAAGCCUGGCUGAUUCCUGUUUAUAUUCAGCAAUGGUGCAAGGAAGUGUUUGUUAUUUACUUUUGUAUGUUGACGAUAUUUGUCUAAUAACAACUGCACAAAAGCAAGUGUCUUGGUUUAUAAACAGCCUAGGUAACAAAUACAAACUGAAGUAUUUGGGAGAGAUUAAGAAUUACUUAGGAGUAGAGGUUCAGAGAAAUGAAGAGGGCGUUUACUCUCUGAGUCAGAAGGAAAAAAUCGAAAAGUUACUGAAGACAUAUGGAAUGGAGAGGGCAAAUGAGGUUGACACUCCCAUAACUACCCAGUACAAAAAUGAACCAGAAGGGCAAAAAUGUGAGAAUGCAACAGCGUUUCAUUCUCUGUUGGGUUCGCUGUUAUAUUUAAGUUGUUGGACAAGACCCGACAUAACAUUGGCAGUGCACAUGUUAAGCCAAAGAAGUGCAGACCCGGCUCAGAGAGAUUGGGUAGCACUUAAAAGAAUCCUAAGGUAUCUGAAAGGCACAAAAGAUUACAAACUGGUGCUGGAUACAGGACAUGAUCAGCAAGUGUAUGCAUACGCUGAUGCCAGCUGGGGAGACAGAGAGAAUGGAAAGUCUACCACUGGCUAUGCCAUAUAUAUUGGAAAUGCCCUGGUUCAGUGGAAAUCCCAGAAACAAACAUUUGUUGCCACAAGUACUUGUGAAGCAGAGUACUCAGCCAUAAGCGAAUGUGUAUCACAAAUAGAGUGGUUUGCUUGCCUAACAAAAGAGCUUGGAAUACCUUCUGAAAUGCCAAUCACUGUGCUAAGUGACAACAUGGCUGCACAACAGCUUGCCAACCAACAGAACUUUAAGAGCAAGAGUAAACAUAUUGCGAUAAGAUACGGAAAUGUGAAAAAUGCUUUGGAAAGAAAUGUGUUAAAGGUACAGCACUGUAACACAAAAUGUAAUGUGGCAGAUUUGUAUACAAAAUGUUUGGAUGCUCCUAAAUUUCGAGACUUAAGAGAAUUAUUGGGUCUCAAGCCUUUGACUUAA